AUUGAACGCUGGCGGCAUGCCUUCCACAUGCAAGUCGAACGGUAACGCGGGGCAACCUGGCGACGAGUGGCGAACGGGUGAGUAAUGUAUCGGAACGUGCCCAGUUGUGGGGGAUCACUGCUCGAAAGAGCCGCUAAUACCGCAUACGACCUGAGGGUGAAAGCGGGGGAUCGCAAGACCUGGGGCAAUUGGAGCGGCCGAUAUCAGAUUAGGUAGGUGGCGGGGUAACGGCCAACCAAGCAAACGAUCUGUAGCUGGUCUGAGAGGACGACAGGCCACACUGGGACUGAGACACGGCCCAGACUCCUACGGGAGGCAGCAGUGGGGAAUUUUGGACAAUGGACGCAAGUCUGAUCCAGCCAUGCCGCGUGCGGGAAGAAGGCCUUCGGGUUGUAAACCGCUUUUGUCAGGGAAGAAACGCUCUGGGUUAAUACCUCGGGGUAAUGACGGUACCUGAAGAAUAAGCACCGGCUAACUACGUGCCAGCCGCCGCGGUAACAC
rnacentral:rRNA from 1 species